UACGAAGGGGGCUAGCGUCGUUCGGAAUCACUGGGCGUAAAGCGCACGUAGGCGGAUUGUUAAGUCGGGGGUGAAAUCCCUCGGCUUAACCGGGGAACUGCGUCCGAUACUGGAUGGCUUGAGUUUGGGAGAGGGAUGCGGAAUUCCAGGUGUAGCGGUGAAAUGCGUAGAUAUCUGGAGGAACACCGGUGGCGAAGGCGGCAUCCUGGACCAACACUGACGCUGAGGAGCGAAAGCCAGGGGAGCAAACAGG
rnacentral:rRNA from 1 species